GACGGAGGGUGCUAGCGUUGUUCGGAAUCACUGGGCGUAAAGGGCGCGUAGGCGGCCUUCUAAGUCGAACGUGAAAUCCCCGGGCUCAACCCGGGAACUGCGUCCGAGACUGGAAGGCUUGAAUCCGGGAGAGGGAUGUGGAAUUCCAGGUGAUAGCGGUGAAAUGCGCAGAUAUCAGGAAGAACACCCGUGGCGAAAGCGGCUCUCUGGAACGGUACUGACGCUGAGACGCGAAAGCGUGGGGAGCGAACAGG
rnacentral:rRNA from 1 species